GUUGUAUGGUUAAGUGACUAAGCGUACACGGUGGAUGCCUUGGCAGUCAGAGGCGAUGAAAGACGUAGUAACUUGCGAUAAGCCCAGAUUAGGUAGUAACAACCAUUUGAGUCUGGGAUUUCUGAAUGGGGAAACCCACGUGCAUAAGCACGUAUCCUUACCUGAAUACAUAGGGUAAGGAGGCGAACCGGGGGAACUGAAACAUCUAAGUACCCCGAGGAAAAGAAAUCAACCGAGAUUCCGAAAGUAGCGGCGAGCGAAAUUGGACUAGCCCUUAAGCUUUACACGCGUUAGACGAACGGUCUGGAAAGUCCGACGAUACAGGGUGAUAGUCCCGUAGUUGACGACGUGUGUUCAGUGAAAUCGAGUAGGGCGGGACACGUGAUAUCCUGUCUGAAUAUGGGGGGACCAUCCUCCAAGGCUAAAUACUACUGACUGACCGAUAGUGAACCAGUACCGUGAGGGAAAGGCGAAAAGAACCCCUGUGAGGGGAGUGAAAUAGAACCUGAAACCGUGUACGUACAAGCAGUAGGAGCAGGCUUGUCCUGUGACUGCGUACCUUUUGUAUAAUGGGUCAGCGACUUAUAUUCAGUGGCAAGGUUAACCAUCUAGGGGAGCCGUAGGGAAACCGAGUCUUAACUGGGCGUUCAGUCUCUGGAUAUAGACCCGAAACCAGGUGAUCUAGCCAUGGGCAGGUUGAAGGUUGAGUAACAUCAACUGGAGGACCGAACCGACUAAUGUUGAAAAAUUAGCGGAUGACUUGUGGCUAGGGGUGAAAGGCCAAUCAAACCUGGAGAUAGCUGGUUCUCCCCGAAAGCUAUUUAGGUAGCGCCUCGGACGAAUACUACUGGGGUAGAGCACUGUUAAGGCUAGGGGGUCAUCCCGACUUACCAACCCUUUGCAAACUCCGAAUACCAGUAAGUACUAUCCGGGAGACACACGGCGGGUGCUAACGUCCGUCGUGGAGAGGGAAACAACCCAGACCGCCAGCUAAGGUCCCAAAUUACUACUAAGUGGGAAACGAUGUGGGAAGGCUCAGACAGCCAGGAUGUUGGCUUAGAAGCAGCCAUCAUUUAAAGAAAGCGUAAUAGCUCACUGGUCGAGUCGGCCUGCGCGGAAGAUGUAACGGGGCUAAGUAGUAAACCGAAGCUGCGGCAAUGUGCUUUUGCACAUUGGGUAGGGGAGCGUUCUGUAAGCGGUUGAAGGUGUGUGGUAACGCAUGCUGGACGUAUCAGAAGUGCGAAUGCUGACAUGAGUAACGAUAAAGGGGGUGAAAAACCUCCUCGCCGGAAGACCAAGGGUUCCUGUCCAACGUUAAUCGGGGCAGGGUAAGUCGACCCCUAAGGCGAGGCCGAAAGGCGUAGUCGAUGGGAAACGGGUUAAUAUUCCCGUACUUCUUACAAUUGCGAUGGGGGGACGGAGAAGGCUAGGUGGGCCUGGCGACGGUUGUCCAGGUUCAAGUGCGUAGGCUUAAGAGUUAGGUAAAUCCGGCUCUUUCUAAGGCUGAGACACGACGUCGAGCACCUACGGGUGUGAAGUCAUUGAUGCCAUGCUUCCAGGAAAAGCCUCUAAGCUUCAGAUUGUAAGGAAUCGUACCCCAAACCGACACAGGUGGUCGGGUAGAGAAUACCAAGGCGCUUGAGAGAACUCGGGUGAAGGAACUAGGCAAAAUGGUACCGUAACUUCGGGAGAAGGUACGCUCUUGAUGGUGAAGUCCCUUGCGGAUGGAGCUGACGAGAGUCGCAGAUACCAGGUGGCUGCAACUGUUUAUUAAAAACACAGCACUGUGCAAAAUCGUAAGAUGACGUAUACGGUGUGACGCCUGCCCGGUGCCGGAAGGUUAAUUGAUGGGGUUAGACUUCGGUCGAAGCUCUUGAUCGAAGCCCCGGUAAACGGCGGCCGUAACUAUAACGGUCCUAAGGUAGCGAAAUUCCUUGUCGGGUAAGUUCCGACCUGCACGAAUGGCGUAAUGAUGGCCACGCUGUCUCCACCCGAGACUCAGUGAAAUUGAAAUCGCUGUGAAGAUGCAGUGUACCCGCGGCUAGACGGAAAGACCCCGUGAACCUUUACUACAGCUUGGCACUGAACAUUGACCCUACAUGUGUAGGAUAGGUGGGAGGCUUUGAAGCACGUACGCCAGUAUGUGUGGAGCCGUCCUUGAAAUACCACCCUUGUAGUGUUGAUGUUCUAACGUCGACCCCUUAUCGGGGUUGCGGACAGUGCCUGGUGGGUAGUUUGACUGGGGCGGUCUCCUCCCAAAGAGUAACGGAGGAGCACGAAGGUGGGCUAAUCACGGUUGGACAUCGUGAGGUUAGUGCAAUGGCAUAAGCCCGCUUGACUGCGAGAAUGACAAUUCGAGCAGGUGCGAAAGCAGGUCAUAGUGAUCCGGUGGUUCUGAAUGGAAGGGCCAUCGCUCAACGGAUAAAAGGUACUCCGGGGAUAACAGGCUGAUACCGCCCAAGAGUUCAUAUCGACGGCGGUGUUUGGCACCUCGAUGUCGGCUCAUCACAUCCUGGGGCUGAAGUCGGUCCCAAGGGUAUGGCUGUUCGCCAUUUAAAGUGGUACGCGAGCUGGGUUUAGAACGUCGUGAGACAGUUCGGUCCCUAUCUGCCGUGGGCGUUGGAAGAUUGAAGGGGGCUGCUCCUAGUACGAGAGGACCGGAGUGGACGAACCUCUGGUGUUCGGGUUGUGUCGCCAGACGCAUUGCCCGGUAGCUAAGUUCGGAAUCGAUAACCGCUGAAAGCAUCUAAGCGGGAAGCGAGCCCUGAGAUGAGUCUUCCCUGAUACUUUAAGUAUCCUAAAGGGUUGUCGGAGACUACGACGUUGAUAGGUCAGGUGUGUAAGUGCUGUGAGGCAUUGAGCUAACUGAUACUAAUUGCCCGUGAGGCUUAACCAUACAACACCCAAGGGGUUU
rnacentral:rRNA from 1 species